rnacentral:rRNA from 1 species
UGGGGAAUAUUGCACAAUGGGCGCAAGCCUGAUGCAGCCAUGCCGCGUGUGUGAAGAAGGCCUUCGGGUUGUAAAGCACUUUCAGCGGGGAGGAAGGCGAUAAGGUUAAUAACCUUGUCGAUUGACGUUACCCGCAGAAGAAGCACCGGCUAACUCCGUGCCAGCAGCCGCGGUAAGACGGAGGGUGCAAGCGUUAAGCGGAAUUACUGGGCGUAAAGCGCACGCAGGCGGUCUGUCAAGUCGGAUGUGAAAUCCCCGGGCUCAACCUGGGAACUGCAUCUGAUACUGGCAAGCUUGAGUCUCGUAGAGGGGGGUAGAAUUCCAGGUGUAGCGGUGAAAUGCGUAGAGAUCUGGAGGAAUACCGGUGGCGAAGGCGGCCCCCUGGACGAAGACUGACGCUCAGGUGCGAAAGCGUGGGGAGCAAACAGG